GGUCCAGUACAAUGAGUUAACAUGUCUACCUAAUAAUGUGAUCAAACUGGAUAAACUAUCUAAAAUAUUUGCAAGUUAUAAUAAACUACAGUGUUUACCAGUAGACAUUGGCCAAUUGACUAACUUACAGUCUCUCAAUAUAUCACACAAUUCACUAACUGUUCUACCACACUCAAUCACUAGUCUCUCCCACCUAGAGGAACUGGAUGUAAGUGGUAAUUCCUUGGAGGCAUUACCUGACGGUUUUGAGAGGUCAACAGUUUUGAGAGCUUUUAAUUUAUCGGAGAAUAGAUUGAGCGAGAUACCACCUAACCUUGGAGAAAUGAGGAAUUUGACUAAAUUAUCACUAUUUGAAAACAAGUUAAAAGCAUUACCACCUC